rnacentral:lncRNA from 1 species
UCAGGUUUUACCACAGCCAUUGGGUUUUUUGUGAGACUUAUAUCCAUAUGCAAGUUCUUACUUUGUUUGACACUAGUGUGUUCCCAGAACCAAUACCAACGAGUCGACUUCCUCAACUCUACAUGAUGCCGAAUCUAAUUGAGUAUUUACACAAUCAAGGAUGAGUGUUAUAAACAUUGUAUUAAAGUGGGAUAUUAGGACUUGUAUUCCUUGGAGGUGAAUGAUUCUUCCCUCCCAUACUAUAAAUAAAGACAAUGCGUAUGAGGAAUAACUUAUCCCUUGCAUAACCCUACAAACACAUGUCUCUCUUUGUCACACCUCCUUCUCUCCCUUAUAAGAUAAAAUAAGCCACAACAUGACAGUCUAUGUGGCAUUUAACAUUUUUUUAAGAUUUUCUCUUAACCCUAUAUACCAAAUU